GGUUUGGGUGGUGAAAGGGUGGAAAACCACUGAACCAGUUUCCCUAAGCUCCUUCAGCUCUAUUGUUUGUGUUGGGGUUUGAAGGAAGGGUGUUUGCCAGAGACAGGGAAGAAAGGCAUUUUGUGCGUUCCCCUGUGCUGGAGUCGCAGCACAAGUGACAGCUCAGAGCAUGAGAGGCCUGGAGUGUGGGGAGGAGAAGCAAGGUCUCUGAUCCUUUCUGGCUGCUUCUCAACCACUAAGACCUAAUUCUGGCUGCAGGAUCCAGAUGUUUUGAAGGCCAGCGUAAGCUCACCAGAGAAGCCACUCCCCCCAUCUUUCACAGUCCUCUGUCCACUGAGUCACAAGCUGCUAGACUGCACAGCCCCUUGGCAGUGGUUGGAAUGAACUGCCACAUCAGUGGCUUUGGUGGUGAUGUGUACCACACCUGCAGAAACUCCCGAUGAAGCAUAGAGGGAGAUCAGCUCAUCGCUCCGGCCUGCUAUUUUUAAAAGCAAUUUCCAGUGUUUUCUCCCUCCACUGCUUUCCACCAAACUAUGGGAAAACAUCACAAUUAAUGGACUGUAACAUCCCCAACAGCUGCUACCCAACUCCACGCGGGGCUAGUGGUACACAGAAAUGACUUUAAAUUUAGUCUUACAUUUUGUAACUUGGAAAAUAUAACCAACCAAUAUAA